rnacentral:rRNA from 1 species
AUUGAACGCUGGCGGCAGGCCUAACACAUGCAAGUCGGACGGUAGCACAGAGGAGCUUGCUCCUCGGGUGACGAGUGGCGGACGGGUGAGUAAUGUCUGGGAAUCUGCCCGAUAGAGGGGGAUAACCACUGGAAACGGUGGCUAAUACCGCAUAACGUCGCAAGACCAAAGAGGGGGACCUUCGGGCCUCUCACUAUCGGAUGAACCCAGAUGGGAUUAGCUAGUAGGCGGGGUAACGGCCCACCUAGGCGACGAUCCCUAGCUGGUCUGAGAGGCUGACCAGCCACACUGGAACUGCGACACGGUCCAGACUCCGACGGGAGGCAGCAGUGGGGAAUAUUGCACAAUGGGCGCAAGCCUGAUGCAGCCAUGCCGCGUGUAUGAAGAAGGCCUUCGGGUUGUAAAGUACUUUCAGCGGGGAGGAAGGCGAUAAGGUUAAUAACCUUGUCGAUUGACGUUACCCGCAGAAGAAGCACCGGCUAACUCCGUGCCAGCCGCCGCGGUAA